rnacentral:rRNA from 1 species
UACAGGGGGUGCAAACGUUGCUCGGAAUUACUGGGCGUAAAGCGUGCGCAGGCGGUUAUGUAAGACAGUUGUGAAAUCCCCGGGCUCAACCUGGGAACUGCAUCUGUGACUGCAUAGCUAGAGUACGGUAGAGGGGGAUGGAAUUCCGGGUGGAGUGGUGAAAUGCGUAGAUAUCCGGAGGAACACCAAUGGCGAAGGCAGUGUCCUGGGAAGUACCUGACGCUCAGGUGCGAAAGCUAGGGGAGCGAACAGG